CGGGGGGGUAAGCGUUGUUCGGAAUUACUGGGCGUAAAGGGCUCGUAGGCGGCCAACUAAGUCACACGUGAAAUCCCUCAGCUUAACUGGGGAACUGCGUGUGAUACUGGAUGGCUUGGAUCCGGGAGAGGGAUGGCGGAAUUCCAGGUGUAGCGGUGAAAUGCGUAGAUAUCUGGAGGAACACCGGUGGCGAAGGCGGCAUCCUGGACCGGUAUUGACGCUGAGGAGCGAAAGCCAGGGGAGCAAACGGGAUUAGAUACCCCGGUAGUCCUGGCCCUAAACGAUGAAUGCUUGGUGUAGCGGGUAUCGAUCCCUGCUGUGCCGAAGCUAACGCAUUAAGCAUUCCGCCUGGGGAGUACGGUCGCAAGGCUAG
rnacentral:rRNA from 1 species